rnacentral:rRNA from 1 species
GACGAACGCUGGCGGCGUGCCUAAUACAUGCAAGUAGAACGCACAGUUUAUACCGUAGCUUGCUACACCAUAGACUGUGAGUUGCGAACGGGUGAGUAACGCGUAGGUAACCUGCCUGGUAGCGGGGGAUAACUAUUGGAAACGAUAGCUAAUACCGCAUAAUAUUGAUUAUUGCAUGAUAAUUGAUUGAAAGAUGCUAUUGCAUCACUACCAGAUGGACCUGCGUUGUAUUAGCUAGUAGGUGAGGUAACGGCUCACCUAGGCGACGAUACAUAGCCGACCUGAGAGGGUGAUCGGCCACACUGGGACGGAGACACGGCCCAGACUCCUACGGGAGGCAGCAGUAGGGAAUCUUCGGCAAUGGACGAAAGUCUGACCGCGCAACGCCGCGUGAGUGAAGAAGGUUUUCGGAUCGUAAAGCUCUGUUGUAAGAGAAGAACGGGUGUGAGAGUGGAAAGUUCACACUGUGACGGUAUCUUACCAGAAAGGGACGGCUAACUACGUG